GCCCCCUCUUGAUCCAGUCCUCCGCCUCAUCCCCCACCUCUCCCCGAUCCCAUCCCUCCCCUCAUCUCCCACAUCGCCGCCGCCACCCAUCCAAACCUCGCCGGUCGGUGGCCUCUCCCUCUCCUCCCACCUUAGGCAGAGCCACCACCCAUCCAUCCCUCUCUCCUCCCACCUCAGACAACCCCUCUUUCGCUCGUCUCUCCCUCUCCCAUGCACCACUCCUCUCUGCCACAACCACCUACGGAUCCCGCUUGAUUCUGGCAUCCUCCAGCGUCGCCAAGCCUACCCACAGCUUCCUCUCGCUGCACUCUUUCUUCACCAUCGCGUCGAUUUGCUUUACCCCGCCACAUGUGGUCGCCCGCAUCACUUCCUCCUGCUAGGGUUUUGGUGGUGGGGUGGACCUUUUCAUUGCGCACGGCUGAGAUGAACAUCCUCGGCGGUGGUGGCGGCGCGCGUGAGAUCCUCCUACAAGGCCGCCGCCGGAUCAGCUCCUCUCCGCCGGUGGAUCCUCGCCUCUCCGACAAGGCCGCCACUGGAUCCCCUCCUCUCCGACAGCAACGCCUUUGGAUCCGCUCGUCCUCGACAACGAUGGCACCGAGGAGCACUAGGAGCUUCGGAUCAGGUUUCGCUGGUGAACAGAUGAUCACGGCGUCAGUGGCUCAACAUCUCCCUAGCAAAGGCCAAAUAAAAGAUGUUGUUCUCGGUGGAGUUGCGCUUGAGGAUGAGCAGAGAGAGAAAUUUAAUCAAAUCCAAUAGAGGGCGUGUACAAGAAUCUGAAGAAGAACGACAGUGGGGGGCAGGAGCCGGAGGAGACCGGCGUGACGCCGGCUAUGUACGGCGGCGACCACAAGCUCUCCGAUGAGUCGGCUCCAUCUUCUAGCCCUAGCACCCUAUUUUCUGCUCCUAUAUCAUGCUCUGUUGGUUUAGAACACUAGCAGCAGUAGCCUACCAUGUAUACGUACUAAACAGCAGGAUUUCAAUCACCUUGUGUACACUAGCAACUUGCUUACACAGUUGUCACUUUUGCUUGUGGUAGCCAUUAUGUGGCUGAAUCAUGUCUGUGUCUACUAAUCAUCAGUUAAUAGCAUUUGGCUUCUUUGUGA